GACGGAGGAUGCAAGCGUUAUCCGGAAUGAUUGGGCGUAAGGCGUCCGCAGGUGGCAGUUCAAGUCUGCUGUCAAAGACCGGGGCUUAACUUCGGAAAGGCAGUGGAAACUGAACAGCUAGAGUAUGGUAGGGGCAGAGGGAAUUCCUGGUGUAGCGGUGAAAUGCGUAGAUAUCAGGAAGAACAUCGGUGGCGAAGGCGCUCUGCUGGACCAUAACUGACACUCAGGGACGAAAGCUAGGGGAGCGAAUGGG
rnacentral:rRNA from 1 species